CCCUUAGAUGUUCUGGGCUGCACGCGCGCUACACUGAAGCUAUCAACACGUUUUCCCUCCCUGAGAAGGGCGGGUAACCUUUUGAAUCAGCUUCGUGGUAGGGAUCGGGGCUUGCAAUUGUUCCCCGUGAACCAGGAAUUCCUAGUAGACGCGAGUCAUAAGCUCGCAUCGAUUAAGUCCCUGCCCUUUGUACACACCGCCCGUCGCUACUACCGAUUGAACGUUUUAGUGAGGCAUUUGGACCGACGCAUCUCAGUUUGACCGCUGGUUUGUGUUGGAAAGACUUCCAAACUUGAGCGUUUAGAGGAAGUAAAAGUCGUAACA
rnacentral:rRNA from 1 species